GAUGAACGUUGGCGGUGUGCCUUAUGCAUGCAAGUCGAACGGGGAUAUGACUUUCGGGUUAUAUUCUAGUGGCGAACGGCUGAGUAACGCGUAAGUAACCUACCCUCGAGUGGGGAAUAACUUGUCGAAAGGCAAGCUAAUACCGCAUGAAGUAACCAGAAGUAUGUUUGGUUACCAAAGUCUUCGGAUGCUCGAAGAGGGGCUUGCGUCUGAUUAGCUAGUUGGUGAGGUGAUGGCUUACCAAGGCGAUGAUCAGUAGCUGGUCUGAGAGGAUGGUCAGCCAGAUAGGGACUGAGACACGGCCCUGACUCCUACGGGAGGCAGCAGCAGGGAAUAUUGGACAAUGGGCGAAAGCCUGAUCCAGCGACACCGCGUGAGGGAAGAAGGCCUUCGGGUUGUAAACCUCUUUUCUUCUGGGAAGAAAUUUGACGGUACCAGAGGAAUAAGCCUCGGCUAAUUACGUGCCAGCAGCCGCGGUAAAACGUGGGAGGCAAACGUUAUCCGGAUUUACUGGGCGUAAAGGGAGUGUAGGCGGUUCUUUAAGUCAGAUGUGAAAUUCCUUGACUCAAUCAAGAAAAGUCAUUUGAAACUGAGGGACUUGAGGGCGGCAGAAGGAAACGGAAUUCCCGGUGUAGCGGUGAAAUGCGUUGAUACCGGGAAGAACACCAGUGGCGAAGGCGGUUUCCUAGGCUGUUUCUGACGCUGAGACUCGAAAGCGUGGGGAGCGAAGCGGAUUAGAUACCCGCGUAGUCCACGCCCUAAACGGUGGACACUAGAUAUGGGGAGUAUCGACCCUCCUCGUGUCGAAGCUAACGCUUUAAGUGUCCCGCCUGGGGACUACGAUCGCAAGAUUAAAACUCAAAGGAAUUGACGG
rnacentral:rRNA from 1 species